AUCCUCCCUGCGCUUUUUUGCUGUUUUGAUAAAAGCCCAGUUUGGAUAGCCACAAGUUUGAAGAGCAGAGUGAAUAUGCUUGUGUUCCCUUCUUUUUCCAUCCUGGAUGACUGAGAACAUCCACAGAUUUAUUUCAACAUGACACCCAAGACUAAGAGCAAAGGAAAAAGCAAGAAGCAGAAAAAGAGCAAUGUGCCGAAAGAGAAGAAGGAUGAGCUAUGGGAGGAAUGUGUUGAGCUACAAGAGGAACUCAAGAGGGUGCAGACGGAGAAGAAGCUCUUUAAGACUGAGAUGAGGAUUGCCCAAACACUGUGGGACAACUCCAAGAGAAGACUGGAGGAGACCAAGGUCAGGAUGAGAGAAAAGCUCCGGUUGAAAGGGGACGCUGAGAAGCACGACCGCACAGAAAGUGAGAAGCACAAACUCAAGCUUAAACAGCCGAGGACUGCACACCACAACGAGCUCUGUGAACAGAAGAUGGCUGCGAUCACAACAACCUCAAACAUCCAGAAAGAGCAGGUGGAAUCAGAAAUCGAGCUUCAGAAGAAUGUGUACCAUGUACAGGCAGACAAGGGACUGAAACAAUCCUCCACCGAAAUCUACAUUAGGAACCUUCAGCAGAAAUAACAGGAAGAAUUAGGGAAACUGGUGAAAAGUUAUGAGAAUCUAGUUCAAGCUUCAGCAGGAAUACAAGAGGCUGCAGGAGAGGCAGACCAAGGCCACUCAAAGCAUUCAGCAGAAAAGCAACCUGAAGGCCUUGCUGCUGGAGAGCAAGAUAAAUGCCAUGACAGAAAUUCAUGAGAAAAAGCAGCUAGAACUCUGGGUGGCGCUUGCCUUCAGACAGUUGGACCGCUCUGUUGAUAAUAUCAAGGUGAGAUUUAUAUCUGUGCUUUACUUCAUCCUGUACAAUAGUUUAAAGGACCACAUACAGCAGUGAUGCCAUUCUAUUGUGUCUUUAAUGGUCCCUGUGGGUGAAAAAGAAACUCUCAAAAUGAGGAUCUUGAAGUCAGCGUCUCUUUAUUCAGGCAAUGCACAGAAUCUCACGCAACAAAAAGGAUGACAGUAUUUAUACACUUGUAUCACGUUGUUUAGCUAUGUGUAAGUUCUAUCUGUUCUGAAUGGUUAGUCUUUUGUUCUAUCAUAGGAGUGUACAUCUUCCUGCCCAAGGUCCUGGGAGUGUAGCUCUCCUGUCAGGCUACCUGCACACACUCCCUUUCUGCACUUUCACAUAGAUCUUUAAUCUCUUAUAGAAUGGAUAAUACAGUCCUUAAUACUUUCCAUCAGUCCCAUCGCCUUUUCCCUGGACAAAAAGACAAACUCAUCCCCGUCAAAUUUUAUAAUUAUUCUGUAGUGAUGACAUAGUGAUGUCUGCUAUUUCAGGACGUAACUAUGGCCCGAUUUCAGUCCAGCUCUUACACAUAGGAACUCCGUGGAGUCACAUUUGUUGCUUUAGAGGAUCUCCUAGUCAAGACUAAAUAGCGACUUUCAACGAGUGUGUGGCAAAAAUAAACCGCUAUCAGAUGUGUGUGUUAGGAUUAUGUGGUACUUCAUUUCCACGUUGAGGCGUUUACAGCGUAAGCACAAAAAUAUCUUCCAUAAUUCGGACUUUUUUUUUAUCAUCUUCCGUGUUCUUUGUUAUUAACAGCAUUUUUAUUCAUGUAAACUGUAUUUAAUUGAGCACUUUUAAGAAGUGGUUUACAAGGAUUUUUUUUUUUUUUUUUUUUUUUUUUAUGAAACAAUCCAGCACAAUAAAAAUAGACAAAAUCAGGCCACUAGAAGUUACUUUGAGAAACGUAUUUUUAAUAUGAUGAAUUCCUCUUUCUGGCAAAAGGCAAGAAAUAAAAUUUCUUUAUUAAUAUUAAUCAUUUGAAAAAAAAUUAUAGUUGCUAUUAUUAAUAUUAUUAUUAAAUCUUGAUAAAGGAUAAAAGAUAAGAAUAAAUAAAAGUGGGACUAUUUUGGAACACUGAUUACAGCAAGGCAUUAUUCGAUAGAGUGCCAUUUAACAUGAACCACUGCUAGUAUGUUUCUGUAAUAUUUGCCCUAAAGCUAUUGCAUUUGAUUUAUUAUUUACUGAGUUUGUACUUACAAUAACCACACAGAACUCACAUUUGUACACAAAACAGGCACUGCACUUGUGAGGAGUGCAGUUUGCGAGCCUGCAUUUUGUGCAGACUUAGUGUUGGAGGACUUUAUAACCCACUCCUACUUAAUUCUGGUUGGUUUGGAAUGUCGCUUUAUGUGGCUAACCCUCCACAUAAACACGUGAACAAAGUGAGAAUGUGCUGGGAGAGGGAGGCUGUUGAGCCAGACUGGAACUGGGCCUUAGACCAUACUGAGUUCAUUUCAAAAUGUAGAGUGCAAUGACCACUGUCACCUCCAGAGGUCAGUAGAUGUGCUUGAUGUGAAAGUGUUGCAUUGAUUGUUUGCUGUGCCUUAAUCUUGUUUAUUAGUCACGCUUGGUGAGCUACUGCCACCAGUGUUCUUGUGUUCAAGAUUUAGAGGUGGGUUAUCAGUGGUCUCAAAGCGAUUUACUACAUUUCUUUAACUUAUCUCAAAGUAACUGUUCAUGAAAGGCUGUCCUGUUUAAUUAAAAUCAACAUCUGACUGGCAGGAGUAUGAUGACUUGGUUCGGAAAGCCCAGGAUUUGGGAAUCUGUGCCGACAAGUCACUCCAGUGUCGUUAUUCUCCUGUAGAUCACAUGACCACUGGUGACCUGAUGAAGGAGCUGAUCUCUUUGUCCAUCUCUGAGCGUGAGUCUGACCAAAAAGACGCCAGGAGCCUGAGCCUCGCUGCUGCUGAGUUCAGACAGUGGGCUCCUACUGCUCUCGGGUUUGCACUCAUCUGUUCUUCUUUAACAUUUCCCAACCCAAAUUAAUUGAUAUUUCUUCUUUUUUCUCAUACAAUUCCUUUAUUUCUCAUUGUCUUGUUAAUUCAGCCUAGCUUGUCAUGAAUUCAUUACCUGGGCAUUUUCCUCUUUUGAGUUUUUAUUUUAUUCAAAUGAUUUACCUUUAGCAAUACCAGGUAGCCAUCAUUACUGGUUAUUAUUCCUGCUCAUAGUCCAGGCAUAGAUGCUCUUACAGACCUGAACAUCUGACCGAGUAACAUUAAAGACUACACAAGGUGACAAUGAUUUCCUCAACAUCCUAGAUCUUCAUCUCUGCCUCUUUGGUUUUGGCAUUGCGUCUGUAUUGUUUUGCUUUUGUAUUUCGUGCUUUAGUUUGCUGACUUCUGCUUUUAUGAUUUUCUUCUUAAAAUGCAUUUAAGUCUAUUGUAAAUCGUGUUUUUAGGUCACUUGUCGCUUGUUGGUAAUUAUAUCCAACCCAAACACAUUGCUGCUGCUGCCGUCUCUCUUCUAUGUGGGAGUCCUCAGUCUCAUUUAUUACUUGCCAAAUGAUGCCAUUUUUCUCACCCACUAUUUAUAAGUUUAACAUUUUUGAUUGCUUGUUGUAGCUGCAUGCCUUGCUGAUAAAGUUUUCUUCAUGUACUCAUAUUUAUAAGCUGCAGUUGAUUACAAUAAUUAUUUGCCAAAACAUUCAAACAAAAGCACACUGACUGUCAACCUCCAACUUCACGUCUCCUGUGUAACUCACUAAAGUACAUGUAAUCACAAAUAUGAUUUUUUUUCUGUUCUGUGUUUUCUAGGAACCUCUGAGUUUCCUCAACUGUGUCUAUCCUGCUGUGAAUAGUAAAAAAUGACUUUUAAAAAAUCCUUUACUCCUUUUUGAUUUCAGUAUAAUUAAAAUUUCUUAAAAAUAUGAAAUGAUAAAACAUCUUUUAAUAAAUAUUUAUUGUUUAAGCCA